GCUGGAAUGCUUUAUGCGUAAAAUGGAUUCGUCCGCCCAAGAAUGGGUCUGCGGCCUAUCAGGUAGUAGUGGGUGUAAUGUACCUACUAGCCUACAACGGGUACGGGUUGUGAGAGCAAGAGCCCGGAGAUGGAUUCUGAGACAUGAAUCCAGGCCCUACGGGGCGCANNAGGCGCGAAAACUUUACAAUGCGGGAAACCGUGAUAAGGGGACACCGAGUGCUAGCAUCAUAUGCUGGCUGUCCAGGUGUGUAAACUACACCUGUUAGCAAGGGCCGGGCAAGACCGGUGCCAGCC
rnacentral:rRNA from 1 species